rnacentral:rRNA from 1 species
UGGGGAAUAUUGCACAAUGGAGGGAACUCUGAUGCAGCGACGCCGCGUGAACGAGGAAGGCUUUCGCGUCGUAAAGUUCUUUUAUAUGGGAAGAUAAUGACGGUACCAUAAGAAAAAGCCCCGGCUAACUACGUGCCAGCAGCCGCGGUAAUACGUAGGGGGCUAGCGUUGUCCGGAAUCACUGGGCGUAAAGGGUUCGCAGGCGGAAAUGCAAGUCAGGUGUAAAAGGCAGUAGCUUAACUACUGUAAGCAUUUGAAACUGCAUAUCUUGAGAAGAGUAGAGGUAAGUGGAAUUUUUAGUGUAGCGGUGAAAUGCGUAGAUAUUAAAAAGAAUACCGGUGGCGAAGGCGACUUACUGGGCUCAUUCUGACGCUGAGGAACGAAAGCGUGGGUAGCAAACAGG